rnacentral:rRNA from 1 species
CCUACGGGCGGCAGCAGUGGGGAAUAUUGGACAAUGGGCGAAAGCCUGAUCCAGCCAUGCCGCGUGUGUGAAGAAGGCCUUCGGGUUGUAAAGCACUUUCAGUGGGGAAGAAAGCCUUGGGGCUAAUACCCUCGAGGAAGGACAUCACCCACAGAAGAAGCACCGGCUAACUCCGUGCCAGCAGCCGCGGUAAUACGGAGGGUGCGAGCGGUAAUCGGAAUUACUGGGCGGAAAGCGCGCGUAGGCGGUCUGAUAAGCCGGUUGUGAAAGCCCCGGGCUCAACCUGGGAACGGCAUCCGGAACUGUCAGGCUAGAGUGCAGGAGAGGAAGGUAGAAUUCCCGGUGUAGCGGUGAAAUGCGUAGAGAUCGGGAGGAAUACCAGUGGCGAAGGCGGCCUUCUGGACUGACACUGACGCUGAGGUGCGAAAGCGUGGGUAGCAAACAGGAUUAGAUACCCUUGUAGUC